ensembl:lncRNA novel transcript
CUGCAGCAGCUUCAUCUCAUUCUGGCUCCUAAGAGCUGGACCUGCUCACCCUGCCCUCUCCUCCUAGGGGCCAGGAGACCAUCUCUUAGACCCUGGCAGAGAAGGCUGCCGGGGGGCCGGCCACCACCGUGUGGGGUUAGUUCCAGGCAGCAGCGUCCCGGUGGCUUUCAUCCUUCACCUUUGUACAUCCUGGCCGUGUUUGACAUCUUUACGGGUGGAGCCCCAUCACCUCUGCUUCCAAAACAUUUCCAUCACCCGAAAUGGGAAACCCCAUUCCUCCCGCCGAGCCCUGGCAACCAACAAUCUGUGCUCAUCUCUAUGAUGUGCCCACUCUGGGCAUUUUGUAUAAAUGGAAUCAUGUGA